rnacentral:rRNA from 1 species
GACGAACGCUGGCGGCGUGCCUAAUACAUGCAAGUCGAGCGAAGUUUUUCUGGUGCUUGCACUAGAAAAACUUAGCGGCGCACGGGUGAGUAACACGUAAAGAACCUGCCUCAUAGACUGGGACAACUAUUGGAAACGAUAGCUAAUACCGGAUAACAGCAUUAACUGCAUGGUUGAUGUUUAAAAGUUGGUUUUGCUAACACUAUGAGAUGGCUUUGCGGUGCAUUAGCUAGUUGGUGGGGUAAAGGCCUACCAAGGCGACGAUGCAUAGCCGACCUGAGAGGGUGAUCGGCCACACUGGGACUGAGACACGGCCCAGACUCCUACGGGAGGCGGCAGUAGGGAAUCUUCCGCAAUGGGCGAGAGCCUGACGGAGCAACGCCGCGUGAGUGAAGAAGGAUUUCGGUUCGUAAAGCUCUGUUGUUAGGGAAGAAUGAUUGUGUAGUAACUAUACACAGUAGAGACGGUACCUAACCAGAAAGCCACGGCUAACUACGUG